GGCCCAAUGGUCUAGUGGUAAGAUACUUGCUUUGGGUUUGUUGUGAACUUAGUCCACAAUCCACGUGCAAGGGAUCCCCGGUUCGAACCCGGGUUGGGCCC